UCUCCAACAACAUACCCAUACGGAAUAAAUAGUGACGAAAUUGUAAACCGAAAAUAGGCAAUGAGUCCAAUAAUGAUCUCAAUAAACCAGAAAAGACCUGGACCUCUAUAUCUUGGGCAAUAACUGUAUUCUAGGUAGAAGGAACACGGGUUGAAGGAAGAGAGGAGGAGGGGAGGAGGAGGGACUUCCUCAAGCUUUUUUCGACCUGGGGGAAGGGGUUAACUUGUCCUUUGUGAGAGUUUUCUUCCUGCAACCAAGACAACAAGCAUGCUGUCUGCAACGUUAGCUGUACCAAUUGUUCUUCACAACUCGCAGCACCUUCACUCUUAACACCUUUCUGUGGCCGAGCAACCCAAAAGAACAAGGGAUACUCCAAGAAGAACAAGGGAUAAAUGUAUUCCUUUAAUUAUUAGUAAUAAAUUUGUAGGAUUUUAAGAAUGUAAA